CCUGAAGAUGUUGUCGAUGGUCUUGUGCAGCCUCCAGGCGGCGGGGUCACGGGGGUACAGCUCCAUGUGGCCGACCACGCCAGGGGGCAGGUCGUACUUGUCCUUGGGGUCAACCUGACGGUCGAGCAUGGUGUAGGCCAGGGUGGUGAGGUUGCCGUAGUACUUGCGGUUGGGGCUGUAGUAAGACGACUGGAUGAUGUCACCAAGGAUUGCGAUGCCGUUGUCAUUUUCGAUGUUGAUCUUUUCUCCCUGGUCGCUCUCCACAUAGCCGUGGGCAAUGGCGUCGUGGAUACGGUCCACCAUGUGGACAAGCUCGUGGAUUCUGCCGACCCUGUCGACGUCGUGCAGCUGGAUGUCGUCGUUGCGGAUGGGGAAGGGAGCGCCGAACUUGUAGGUGGUCUGGGGAGCAAAGCCCUCGUGCAGGGGCUCGUCCAGGUGCAGCUCCUCGAGGAGGGGCAUGUAGUUGGAGAUGCGCUCGGCGUCGUAGCGGUUGAGGAGCUGGUGGUAAACGUAGAAGAAGUUCUCUCCCUUCCUGUCGAUGUG